rnacentral:rRNA from 1 species
AUUGAACGCUGGCGGCAUGCCUUACACAUGCAAGUCGAACGGCAGCACGGACUUCGGUCUGGUGGCGAGUGGCGAACGGGUGAGUAAUGUAUCGGAACGUACCUUUCAGUGGGGGAUAACGUAGCGAAAGUUACGCUAAUACCGCAUAUUCUGUGAGCAGGAAAGCAGGGGAUCGCAAGACCUUGCGCUGAUUGAGCGGCCGAUAUCAGAUUAGCUAGUUGGUGGGGUAAAGGCCUACCAAGGCUACGAUCUGUAGCGGGUCUGAGAGGAUGAUCCGCCACACUGGAACUGAGACACGGUCCAGACUCCUACGGGAGGCAGCAGUGGGGAAUUUUGGACAAUGGGCGCAAGCCUGAUCCAGCCAUGCCGCGUGAGUGAAGAAGGCCUCGG